GGAGCCGCAGCCGCGUCCCGAGCAGCGCUCGCUGUAAAUUCCCGAAUUGAUCCCGAAUGGCACAAACGCCGCCGAUGGACAGAGAGAGGCUCUGAGCCCCUCAGUGAUCGGGAAUUGCGGCGUCACCCGGAGCUCCAGGCACGGGGAGAUGAACAGGAGCAAACCCGUCCGUCCUGAAAGCCCCUCCACCCAGAACUCCUGAAAUCUCCCAGCUUUGCCCAGCAGGCCGGGACAUUUCCUGCUCCCGCUGAUGGCUCUGGGUUCUCCAGGGAACAUUCCCAGGCUCAGGUUUGGGGUUUUUGCGCCUUUGUGGGACCCCUGCCCCGUGCUGGUGCUCAGGGAGGGCUGAGGAUGAGAUGGGCGUUGUUUAUUUUCAGUUUUCCUGCGUUUGGGGCUGGAUUUCUGCUCUGCUCCAGCUGUUCCGUGAGUUCAGAGGAUCCUGACACCACGGGUCGCAGAUGGAACCUGAGGAUGCUGCCAACAACAAACGAGCGACGAGCGCUGGGGCAGAGCAAACCCAACCCCAAAUUCAGCAGGGUGGCCAGCUGUGCUCCAGGACUGAAAUGGGGCUGGGUCCCGUGCUGACACGUUCCAGGUAACAAAACCCAAAACAAACACACAGAGUAAAAGACCAACAAAGGAUUAAGAAGAGGUGCCUGAGCACAAGACAAAAGGGCGCAUUGUAGCAGAGACAUGGGA
rnacentral:lncRNA from 1 species